rnacentral:rRNA from 1 species
AGAGUUUGAUCAUGGCUCAGGACGAACGCUGGCGGCACGCUUAACACAUGCAAGUCGAACGAGAGAAGAGGAGCUUGCUUUUCUGAUCUAGUGGCGGACGGGUGAGUAACACGUGAGCAAUCUGCCUUUCAGAGGGGGAUACCGAUUGGAAACGAUCGUUAAUACCGCAUAACAUAAUUGAACCGCAUGAUUUGAUUAUCAAAGAUUUAUCGCUGAAAGAUGAGCUCGCGUCUGAUUAGCUAGUUGGUAAGGUAACGGCUUACCAAGGCGACGAUCAGUAGCCGGACUGAGAGGUUGAUCGGCCACAUUGGGACUGAGACACGGCCCAGACUCCUACGGGAGGCAGCAGUGGGGAAUAUCGCACAAUGGAGGAAACUCUGAUGCAGCGAUGCCGCGUGAGGGAAGAAGGUUUUAGGAUUGUAAACCUCUGUCUUCAGGGACGAAAAAAGACGGUACCUGAGGAGGAAGCUCCGGCUAACUACGUGCCAGCAGCCGCGGUAAUACGUAGGGAGCGAGCGUUGUCCGGAAUUACUGGGUGUAAAGGGAGCGUAGGCGGGAUCGCAAGUCAGAUGUGAAAACUAUGGGCUUAACCCAUAAACUGCAUUUGAAACUGUGGUUCUUGAGUGAAGUAGAGGUAAGCGGAAUUCCUAGUGUAGCGGUGAAAUGCGUAGAUAUUAGGAGGAACAUCAGUGGCGAAGGCGGCUUACUGGGCUUUAACUGACGCUGAGGCUCGAAAGCGUGGGGAGCAAACAGGAUUAGAUACCCUGGUAGUCCACGCCGUAAACGAUGAUUACUAGGUGUGGGGGGACUGACCCCUUCCGUGCCGCAGCAAACGCAAUAAGUAAUCCACCUGGGGAGUACGACCGCAAGGUUGAAACUCAAAGGAAUUGACGGGGGCCCGCACAAGCAGUGGUGUAUGUGGAUUAAUUCGAAGCAAGGCGAAGAACCUUACCAGGUCUUGACAUCGUAUGCAUAGCUCAGAGAUGAGUGAAAUCUCUUCGGAGACAUAUAGACAGGUGGUGCAUGGUUGUCGUCAGCUCGUGUCGUGAGAUGUUGGGUUAAGUCCCGCAACGAGCGCAACCCUUACUGUUAGUUGCUACGCAAGAGCACUCUAGCAGGACUGCCGUUGACAAAACGGAGGAAGGUGGGGAUGACGUCAAAUCAUCAUGCCCCUUAUGACCUGGGCCUCACACGUACUACAAUGGCUGUCAACAGAGGGAAGCAAAGCCGCGAGGUGGAGCGAACCCCUAAAAGCAGUCUUAGUUCGGAUUGUAGGCUGCAACCCGCCUACAUGAAGUCGGAAUUGCUAGUAAUCGCAGAUCAGCAUGCUGCGGUGAAUACGUUCCCGGGCCUUGUACACACAGCCCGUCACGCCAUGGGAGUCGGUAACACCCGAAGCCUGUAGUCUAACCGCAAGGAGGACGCAGUCGAAGGUGGGAUUGAUGACUGGGGUGAAGUCGUAACAAGGUA